rnacentral:rRNA from 1 species
UACGUAGGGUGCAAGCGUUAAUCGGAAUUACUGGGCGUAAAGCGUGCGCAGGCGGUUGUGCAAGACCGAUGUGAAAUCCCCGGGCUUAACCUGGGAACUGCAUUGGUGACUGCACGGCUAGAGUGUGUCAGAGGGGGGUAGAAUUCCACGUGUAGCAGUGAAAUGCGUAGAGAUGUGGAGGAAUACCGAUGGCGAAGGCAGCCCCCUGGGAUGACACUGACGCUCAUGCACGAAAGCGUGGGGAGCAAACAGG